ensembl:lncRNA
AAGUAAUAGUUUUUUGUAUCUGUUGUGUGGUAUUGUAAAUAAACUCUUCUCUGAUUUCUUUGUCAUUUUGACAUUGGAUAAGUAUGUUUAGGGCUCAAAAUUAUAAGAUGUUUCUCUAUAGUCCCUACAAGCAAUAUGUUGUGUUAUAUUUCCAGUUUGAAGCUACUCUAGUCACUCCAAGAGACUGUGAAGAACUCGAGCGACGGAAUGUGCUUAGGGACUUUUAUUUUGGCGUGUUGGUGUGACGUCAUAAAGCAGCGCCGCGCUUCUGCGUCUGUGAUUCGGCUGAAGAACGGUUUGAAUCUUAAUUCAUUUAAACUGUUUAAAUCGAUGUAAAUGGUUUAGUGACUUGUAUAGUUUAACAAGCAAACUAUAGUUAAUUAAUCAUUAUUGGAAGUAGCAUUGAAAUGCUUUAUCUAACGUUAAAACGUGCUGUUUUGUGAAAGUAGGGCGCAGGUGAGUAAGUGAACAGAGAAGCUGCGUCUUAUUUCUCUCUUUAUAUUGUGAAUCAGUUCAUAAUAAACACGAAUUCAGUCGCUGAGUGAAGCUCCGAGUCAACUGAAUCAAAUGACUCUCUGUUCUGAAUCACUUCACGCUGAACUGACUCUCGACAGAUCACUGAAGCAGGGAGCCGAUUCUGACUCAUCCAGAGAUUCAGUUCAGAUUCAUUCAUCUUUCUGUUAAUUAAUCUCCUCUUAAUCAUGUGUGAACAGAGGAGAGACUCCUGCUGAGAUCCUGUUACAGAGAUGGCAGUUAUUAAAGAGGAGAGUGAAGACGUGAAGAUUGUAGACACUUUCAGAGUCAAACAAGAAGAUACUGAGGAACACACAGACCCGAUGCCACUGAAAGAGGAGAGUCGAGAACAUGAUGAAAUGGAAAAGAAAUGUCAGUAUGAGAAACAUAACGGGUUCAUAACUGAAGAAAACUCUUAUUAGCUGCUCGCAGACCUAAAAGACCACGGCUCAGAUCACCGAGACUGGAAGUGAAUUCACCUGCCAACAGUGUGGAAGGAGUUUCGCUAGAAAAGGAAACCUUAAAGUCCACACGGGAGUUCACACCGGAGAGAGACCGUACUCGUGUGUGCUGUGCAGAGCGAGUUUCACACGCAGAGGAAGCCUUAAAGUGCACAUGAGAACUCCCCGGGGAAAGCCCUUACAUCUGCAAACCAUGUGAGAAGAGCUUCUCAAGCA